rnacentral:rRNA from 1 species
UACGUAGGGGGCUAGCGUUGCUCGGAAUCACUGGGCGUAAAGCGCACGUAGGCGGAUUGCUAAGUCAGGGGUGAAAUCCUGGAGCUCAACUCCAGAACUGCCUUUGAUACUGGCGAUCUCGAGUCCGGGAGAGGUGAGUGGAACUGCGAGUGUAGAGGUGGAAUUCGUAGAUAUUCGCAAGAACACCAGUGGCGAAGGCGGCUCACUGGCCCGGUACUGACGCUGAGGUGCGAAAGCGUGGGGAGCAAACAGG